CCUGAGAUGCAAAACGGGGAGGGGGGGAGACUUCUCUCGACCUCUCGGACUCCUUUCUCUGGCUUCGGAGAACGCUAUAGCUUCUGUAGCUGGAGCGUAGUCUCAAACCUGUGGACUUCUUACACCCUGGGAAAGCAUAUUGACCAGAGUGCUACCUUCCAGCAAGGGUGGUCAACAGAACAUCACUCACUCUCUUUGUUAAGUAACUGUCGGUCCAGAGAACCAGGUAAGCAUCUACAGUAUGUCUGCUGUUGAAUCUUUUACCUUGCAGGAUCUGCUUCAAAUGAGCAGAGGGAUUUUUUUUUCUUCCCAAAAAGUCAUGUGUAAGGUUGAGCUGAGGACUUUUUCAGUCAUUAGCAGCUCACCUUGUGAAAAGCAGCUCUGCUCUGUCUGAUUUGUCUACCUCACAUAACAUACUGGCUUCUUCAUCAUCAUUUGCUUAGAACUGCAGAGCUGGAAGGGACCCUAUUGAUCAUCAAGUCCAGCCCUGGCUAGGAGGCACCAUGGGGAAUCAAACUCCCAACCUCUCACUCCGCAGUCAGAGACCUAAACCACUGAACUAUACUAAAGCUCUACAAGGUCUUGCUCCUGUGCAGAGGACCUACCUUGACUUGCUAAGCUAGUCUCUCCCACACUUAGCUUGCUAAAUUAAUCUCUUAUGCACUUCAGAGUGAUCUACUUGGAUGCAGGAGUGAUUGAAAUAUCAUUUGCCAGUGUAACUUCUGCUACUGCUGCUGCACGAUAUCUUCCCUUCAAAAUUUGUCCACCUAGUAUAGUGACUGCUUCACCCUCAUUUGCUUACCCUCAAGCCAUCACCACCUCCUGCAAUCUGAAUCCAGUCCUCUAGAGUUCAUCCAGGACUUGCAACCAGCAGCCUGGAUAUCAAAACCCACGAAGUGUCACUAGUUUGUUUCUUCUGAGUUAAUAUUUCAUCACCAUACUUCUGAAGUAAAUGUAUUUUAAUAUCUAGUCUCUUGCUUUACUUAGAUCACUGCUUGCCAGUUCACUGUUUACAGUUUUGCAGUAUUAUUUGCUUUUCUCCAGUGCCACACAUUUUUUGUGUGUUCAACAGAAUUCCUCUGUUGAAUUGUUCUGUGUGAAUUUAAUUUAAUUGGCUCAGUCUGUGUCAUGAUGCACUGUAGCCAUGGCUCAAAGAUCCCUCCUUACAGGCCCAUAUUCACAGAAUACGUAAGAGUUUUCACAUGUUCUCUGAGACUGUACCUGGUAGCAGUGUGUAUGCUUUCU
rnacentral:lncRNA from 1 species